UGCCGAAUAGCCAAAUGGUAAGGCACCUGACUCUGACUCAGGGAUGUGUAGGUUCGAGUCCUGCUUCGGCAGCCA
rnacentral:tRNA from 1 species